GUCUACCACCAUACCACUCUGAACACACCCAAUCUCAUCUGAUCUCAGAAGCUAAAUAAGGUCGGGCCUGGUCUGUAUAAUAAUUGGAUGGGAGAAA
rnacentral:rRNA from 1 species